rnacentral:rRNA from 1 species
AACGAACGCUGGCGGCAGGCCUAACACAUGCAAGUCGAACGCUCCAGCAAUGGAGAGUGGCAGACGGGUGAGUAACGCGUGGGAACCUUCCCUAUGGUUCGGAAUAGCUCAGGGAAACUUGAGGUAAUACCGGAUAAGCCCUUCGGGGGUAAAGGAUUUAUCGCCAUUGGAUGGCCCGCGUAGGAUUAGCUAGUUGGUGAGGUAACGGCUCACCAAGGCGACGAUCCUUAGCUGGCUGAGAGGAUGAUCAGCCACACUGGGACUGAGACACGGCCCAGACUCCUACGGGAGGCAGCAGUGGGGAAUAUUGGACAAUGGGCGCAAGCCUGAUCCAGCCAUGCCGCGUGAGUG